AUAUUGAAAAUCCUAAAUUUAAAUACAAAGAGAAAAAAAAAUAACUUCGUACAAUUCAAAUAACCUUAACAGUUCGAAUAGUUUUAUAUUUUGCAUUUCUCCAAAGAAAAUAGGUUAAAGUGAUAGAAGGUAUUAACGAUAUAUAUAUAUAUAUAUAUGUGUACGUGCGUGUACAAAAGAGAGAGACAGAGAGAGAGAGAGAGAGAGAAAAAAAGACCAAAAGAGGAAGAAAAAGGAGUACACGAAAGAAUCUACGAUUUCGAAGAAUCAUUUGUUUGCUCAAUAUUAAAUCUAUCAAAGAAAACUA